rnacentral:rRNA from 1 species
UAGGGAAUCUUCGGCAAUGGACGAAAGUCUGACCGAGCAACGCCGCGUGAGUGAAGAAGGUUUUCGGAUCGUAAAACUCUGUUGUUAGAGAAGAACAAGGACGUUAGUAACUGAACGUCCCCUGACGGUAUCUAACCAGAAAGCCACGGCUAACUACGUGCCAGCAGCCGCGGUAAUACGUAGGUGGCAAGCGUUGUCCGGAUUUAUUGGGCGUAAAGCGAGCGCAGGCGGUUUCUUAAGUCUGAUGUGAAAGCCCCCGGCUCAACCGGGGAAGGUCAUUGGAAACUGGGAGACUUGAGUGCAGAAGAGGAGAGUGGAAUUCCAUGUGUAGCGGUGAAAUGCGUAGAUAUAUGGAAGAACACCAGUGGCGAAGGCGGCUCUCUGGUCUGUAACUGACGCUGAGGCUCGAAAGCGUGGGGAGCAAACAGG